rnacentral:lncRNA from 1 species
UUUAAAAUUCGAACUUAAAAACCCGCAUCCAAACUGAUGGCCAAAGUAGUGGUCCAUCGCAAGUGACGGUCCUCCAUUUGGUCUGUAGCUACUGAUCCUAGAAAGUCACUUUCUGGAUAAGUCUGAUGGUCACAGUGGUGGUAUGUCGCAAGACUGACGAUCAACCAUUUUGACCGUUGGUAAUGAUCUUUGAGAGUCAAGUUCUGGAUAGUCCUAACGGCCAAAGUUGUGGUCCGUCCCAAGACGAUGGUCCACCAUUUUGGCCGUCGCUGAGCAUUUCAGGAUGCCUGGUUCUAUUUAGCACUGACGGCCAAAGCAG